CAAUUUGAACAACGAAGAGUUUGAUCCUGGCUCAGGAUGAACGCUAGCGACAGGCUUAACACAUGCAAGUCGAGGGGCAGCGGGGUGUAGCAAUACGCCGCCGGCGACCGGCGCACGGGUGAGUAACGCGUAUGCAACUUGCCUAUCAGAGGGGGAUAACCCGGCGAAAGUCGGACUAAUACCGCAUGAAGCAGGGAUCCCGCAUGGGAAUAUUUGCUAAAGAUUCAUCGCUGAUAGAUAGGCAUGCGUUCCAUUAGGCAGUUGGCGGGGUAACGGCCCACCAAACCGACGAUGGAUAGGGGUUCUGAGAGGAAGGUCCCCCACACUGGUACUGAGACACGGACCAAACUCCUACGGGAGGCAGCAGUGAGGAAUAUUGGUCAAUGGGCGUAAGCCUGAACCAGCCAAGUCGCGUGAGGGAUGAAGGAUCUAUGGUUCGUAAACCUCUUUUAUAAGGGAAUAAAGUGCGGGACGCGUCCCGCUUCGCAUGUACCUUAUGAAUAAGGAUCGGCUAACUCCGUGCCAGCAGCCGCGGUAAUACGGAGGAUCCGAGCGUUAUCCGGAUUUAUUGGGUUUAAAGGGUGCGUAGGCGGCCUUUUAAGUCAGCGGUGAAAGUCUGUGGCUCAACCAUAGAAUUGCCGUUGAAACUGGGGGGCUUGAGUAUGUUUGAGGCAGGCGGAAUGCGUGGUGUAGCGGUGAAAUGCAUAGAUAUCACGCAGAACCCCGAUUGCGAAGGCAGCCUGCCAAGCCAUGACUGACGCUGAUGCACGAAAGCGUGGGGAUCGAACAGGAUUAGAUACCCUGGUAGUCCACGCAGUAAACGAUGAUCACUAGCUGUUUGCGAUACACGGUAAGCGGCACAGCGAAAGCGUUAAGUGAUCCACCUGGGGAGUACGCCGGCAACGGUGAAACUCAAAGGAAUUGACGGGGGCCCGCACAAGCGGAGGAACAUGUGGUUUAAUUCGAUGAUACGCGAGGAACCUUACCCGGGUUUGAACGCAUUCGGACCGAGGUGGAAACACCUUUUCUAGCAAUAGCCGUUUGCGAGGUGCUGCAUGGUUGUCGUCAGCUCGUGCCGUGAGGUGUCGGCUUAAGUGCCAUAACGAGCGCAACCCUUGCCGCCAGUUACUAACAGGUCAUGCUGAGGACUCUGGCGGGACUGCCAGCGUAAGCUGCGAGGAAGGCGGGGAUGACGUCAAAUCAGCACGGCCCUUACAUCCGGGGCGACACACGUGUUACAAUGGCGUGGACAAAGGGAUGCCACCUGGCGACAGGGAGCGAAUCCCCAAACCACGUCUCAGUUCGGAUCGGAGUCUGCAACCCGACUCCGUGAAGCUGGAUUCGCUAGUAAUCGCGCAUCAGCCAUGGCGCGGUGAAUACGUUCCCGGGCCUUGUACACACCGCCCGUCAAGCCAUGGGAGCCGGGGGUGCCUGAAGUCCGUAACCGCGAGGAUCGGCCUAGGGUAAAACUGGUGACUGGGGCUAAGUCGUAACAAGGUAGCCGUACCGGAAGGUGCGGCUGGAACACCUCCUUUCU
rnacentral:rRNA from 1 species